CCUACGGGAGGCAGCAGUGAGGAAUAUUGGUCAAUGGACGAGAGUCUGAACCAGCCAAGUAGCGUGCAGGAAGACGGCCCUAUGGGUUGUAAACUGCUUUUAUAAGGGAAUAAAGUGAGAGUCGUGACUCUUUUUGCAUGUACCUUAUGAAUAAGGACCGGCUAAUUCCGUGCCAGCAGC
rnacentral:rRNA from 1 species